UGAAUUCACUAAACUGUCCAUAAAGCGAAGUCAGCUGAUACACACCGUUUAUCGGAUGGCUUCUUAGUUGCAUUUUGAAAAGUUUGGAGAGCUCUCCAGGCCAACCGCAACGAAGGGAUCUGGUUAUCCUGGAAGCAAGAGUGUCAAGUAAAACAUCAACUGUACAGAGUAGGAGAGUCCAAACUCAGAGGAGGAAGAGGAUCAUCACUGAAAUGCCAAGGCCGAAGGAGCAUCUUUUCUUUAUUUCCUCUUUUAAUCUUCACAGUAUGUUUCCUUUUUCUCUGGG